CCCAAGAGAGAAACUGAAGCGUUUUGUUUGUUGUCAAUUUCAUCACACAGACAGGAGGUGCAAUAGAGGAAGGGAAGCAGAUUGCUCACCCCUUUCAGAACACUCCACGAUCGCAGGGGAAAACUCCGCCAAGGAGGGAUCCCCAACCAGAAAUCCUCACCCAGUGGCUGUCAGCUCUUCUAUGGGGUCUAAGAGGAGUGCAGCCAGGCUCAAACCCUUCCUGCUGCACAGCUGCAUCGCCUUCACCUCUGCUGCCUGUGCUGAGCGGUCCUUUCCCAGGUGAUCCAUCAGAGGGUCAGGCUGGGACUCAGCAGUUCCCAUGCAGGCAGCGAUGCUAUGGGGCAGUGACACUAUUGGGCAACGUUAUGGGGUAGAGACACAAUGGAGUGGUGCUGCUAUGGGGCAGUGCAGCUACGGGGCAGUGAGGCUUUGGGGCAGUGAUGCUAUGGGGCAGUGCUGCUAUGGGGCAGUGAGGCUUUGGGGCGGUGCUGCUAUGGGGCAGUGAGGCUUUGGGGCGGUGCUGCUAUGGGGCGGUGAGGCUUUGGGGCGGUGCUGCUAUGGGGCGGUGCUGCUUUGGGGCGGUGAGGCUUUGGGGCGGUGCUGCUAUGGGGCGGUGCUGCUAUGGGGCGGCUGUGACAGUGGGAAAGAACAGCACGGUGGAAAGGCGAUACAGGAGAGGAAUGGCAAAGGGACAAACAGGAAAGGAACG
rnacentral:lncRNA from 1 species